rnacentral:rRNA from 1 species
UACGUAGGGUGCGAGCGUUAAUCGGAAUUACUGGGCGUAAAGCGUGCGCAGGCGGUUUUGUAAGCCAGAUGUGAAAUCCCCGGGCUUAACCUGGGAAUGGCAUUUGGGACUGCAAGGCUUGAGUGCGGCAGAGGAGACUGGAAUUCCUGGUGUAGCAGUGAAAUGCGUAGAUAUCAGGAGGAACACCGAUGGCGAAGGCAGGUCUCGUGGGCUGACACUGACGCUCAUGCACGAAAGCGUGGGGAGCGAAACAAAGGUGUAUACCCACUAGUCAGACCCAAGUCUACUG